GAUGAACGCUGGCGGCGUGCCUAAUACAUGCAAGUCGAGCGAACGGACGAGAAGCUUGCUUCUCUGAUGUUAGCGGCGGACGGGUGAGUAACACGUGGAUAACCUACCUAUAAGACUGGGAUAACUUCGGGAAACCGGAGCUAAUACCGGAUAAUAUUUUGAACCGCAUGGUUCAAAAGUGAAAGACGGUCUUGCUGUCACUUAUAGAUGGAUCCGCGCUGCAUUAGCUAGUUGGUAAGGUAACGGCUUACCAAGGCAACGAUGCAUAGCCGACCUGAGAGGGUGAUCGGCCACACUGGAACUGAGACACGGUCCAGACUCCUACGGGAGGCAGCAGUAGGGAAUCUUCCGCAAUGGGCGAAAGCCUGACGGAGCAACGCCGCGUGAGUGAUGAAGGUCUUCGGAUCGUAAAACUCUGUUAUUAGGGAAGAACAAAUGUGUAAGUAACUAUGCACGUCUUGACGGUACCUAAUCAGAAAGCCACGGCUAACUACGUGCCAGCAGCCGCGGUAAUACGUAGGUGGCAAGCGUUAUCCGGAAUUAUUGGGCGUAAAGCGCGCGUAGGCGGUUUUUUAAGUCUGAUGUGAAAGCCCACGGCUCAACCGUGGAGGGUCAUUGGAAACUGGAAAACUUGAGUGCAGAAGAGGAAAGUGGAAUUCCAUGUGUAGCGGUGAAAUGCGCAGAGAUAUGGAGGAACACCAGUGGCGAAGGCGACUUUCUGGUCUGUAACUGACGCUGAUGUGCGAAAGCGUGGGGAUCAAACAGGAUUAGAUACCCUGGUAGUCCACGCCGUAAACGAUGAGUGCUAAGUGUUAGGGGGUUUCCGCCCCUUAGUGCUGCAGCUAACGCAUUAAGCACUCCGCCUGGGGAGUACGACCGCAAGGUUGAAACUCAAAGGAAUUGACGGGGACCCGCACAAGCGGUGGAGCAUGUGGUUUAAUUCGAAGCAACGCGAAGAACCUUACCAAAUCUUGACAUCCUCUGACCCCUCUAGAGAUAGAGUUUUCCCCUUCGGGGGACAGAGUGACAGGUGGUGCAUGGUUGUCGUCAGCUCGUGUCGUGAGAUGUUGGGUUAAGUCCCGCAACGAGCGCAACCCUUAAGCUUAGUUGCCAUCAUUAAGUUGGGCACUCUAAGUUGACUGCCGGUGACAAACCGGAGGAAGGUGGGGAUGACGUCAAAUCAUCAUGCCCCUUAUGAUUUGGGCUACACACGUGCUACAAUGGACAAUACAAAGGGCAGCGAAACCGUGAGGUCAAGCAAAUCCCAUAAAGUUGUUCUCAGUUCGGAUUGUAGUCUGCAACUCGACUACAUGAAGCUGGAAUCGCUAGUAAUCGUAGAUCAGCAUGCUACGGUGAAUACGUUCCCGGGUCU
rnacentral:rRNA from 1 species